rnacentral:rRNA from 1 species
GUGGGGAAUAUUGGUCAAUGGGCGAGAGCCUGAACCAGCCAAGUAGCGUGAGGGAUGACUGCCCUAUGGGUUGUAAACCUCUUUUGUUUGGGAAUAAAGUGAGCCACGUGUGGCUUUUUGUAUGUACCUUACGAAUAAGCAUCGGCUAAUUCCGUGCCAGCAGCCGCGGUAAUACGGAAGAUGCGAGCGUUAUCCGGAUUUAUUGGGUUUAAAGGGAGCGUAGGCGGGCUUUUAAGCCAGCGGUCAAAUGUCAGGGCCCAACCUUGGCAUGCCGUUGGAACUGGGAGCCUUGAAUACACACAAGGAAGGUGGAAUUCGUCGUGUAGCGGUGAAAUGCUUAGAUAUGACGAAGAACUCCGAUUGCGAAGGCAGCCUUCUGGGGUGCGAUUGACGCUGAGGCUCGAAAGUGCGGGUAUCGAACAGG